GUUUUUACCACUUAAGGGAGAUGAGCCUUUGGCAGAAGCUUAGAGACUUUCUAUUUCACUUCCACAGCUGCACACGCUGAAUGAUAAUAGUUGCUGACCUUUUGUGAGCACUUGGUAUGCCCGUUGAACCUCUGAGGACGCGGACUCUCCGAGAGGUCAAGUCACGUGUGCAAUCACACAGCGGUAAGUGGCAGGGCAGGCUGCCUGACGCCGGGGCCGCUCGCAGCAGGUGCACCUGGCAGGAGGCCGAGGGGGCGGAUGGGUCCGUCUGCAACAGUGGGUCUCACGCCUAGUGGGUGUGCAAGAAAUGGCCUCGGUCAGUGUUAUUGCUAUCAUGUACUUUUUCAACAGAUGUGUUCCUUGACACCAAACAGUAGAAACACAACAUAGGAACAUGAUUUCCUGGGCUGGCUUCGGUGCUGAAUGAGUCCCCGCAGAACCAGUCCCUGCUGCUGUAGCCAAAAGCGCAUUCUUCACUUGGUCACCGUCAAAAUCAAAUUACCUAGCAAGCAGGGGCUGACGAGGCCUGUCACUACACAAAGUUAAUUAAAAAAAAAAAAGAAAGAGAGAAAAGACGCGAGAGCAAAGGACAGUUCUGGGCAGGGAAUGGCAGCCACAAAAUCAGGGAGGCGGGAAUCAGCCCAGCAUGUUUCCGGAGAGACAUGGACCGCUGGAGCCCUGGUUGCUGGGGGCCGAGGUGGAAGAUGACCCUAGAGAGGCCUUUGGUAUCCAGGCUGACACCCGCCAAGGCCGCCAGUCCCUGAUUUGUCAGGCUGCUGCAAAAAUGCUCGUCCUCCGUGUUCUCUGCUGUGUUGGUUUCGGCCCUCCUCCUCCUCCUCAGACUGCGGGCGCCCAGCUUUCCCAUUCAGCCUUGCCUGCGUCCAAGCUUCUGUCUUAGCAGCCCAGAGGGACGGCCUCAGAGCCUUGAGCUUCCCAGCCUGCUGACUUUCUCCAGCUUGGAGCAGUGACGUUGGAGCCUCUGAGCAUCAGGCCCUAAAGGUUCUUCACAGCCGAUCCCCCACAGCACAAAUUGACCUCUCCCCUGUUAGAUCGCUGUCUCUGUAUAACCUCACUGUGCUAUUAUGCCAGCAGGAUCUGGUCCAGUUACUCAGUUAUAUUAAAGUCCUCGUUGUUGGACUGAAUGGUUCUGUGCCCCUCUCCCAAAUUCAUAUGUUGAUGCCCUAACCCCCAGUGUGAUGGUAUUUGGAGAUGGGGGCCUUAAGGCAGUUAUUAGUGUUAGACGAAGUCAUGAACGUGGGCCCCAUGUUGCACUUAGUAAUGUUAGAAGGAGAGGAACAGUUGGAUCACAGCUUCCCCUCUCUGCCAUGUGAGGACACAGGGAGAAGGUCACUGUCCAUGAGCCUGGAAGAGAACCCUCACCAGGAACGGAAUCUGCAGACUCCUUGAUCUUGGGUUCCCAGCCUCCAAAACCAUGAGAAAUAAAUGUC
rnacentral:lncRNA from 1 species